GCACAAUAGUUGGGAAAAUGAUCCCAGUUCCGGAGACACCAUUCAGUGAUCACUUGUCAAUAUUAUUCAAGAGUAAUAGUUGGGAAAAUAUCCUUCCGGAGACACCAUUCAGUGAUCACUUGUCAAGAUUAUUCAAGAGUAUGUAUAUGUCCUAGGAAGAAGAAUACAAAUGUAGUACCACCACCACCAGAAGAUCAUUAAGAACAUUAAGAAGAUAUCCAGACAGAAAUGGAGGAAACAAAUUUGCACCGUAAGAGGAUAUAUAUCUAGAUUCCAAUAAUUGAAGAUUAAUUCAUUUCCCUUUUAGCGGUUUAAUUGUGAAGAAUGAAUAAUUUAGGUGUUAUAUGCUCGUCUUCAUCCUUGAGUUGUCAAUGGCAUGGAGAAGCAAUCAGAUGUGGUCUAAGAAGAAGGAAAUGUGGUCUAAGAAGAAGCUUAGCUGAUGUCCAAGAAGAAGAUUGAGUGGAUAAAUACCAUAUUUUCUAUUGAACAAACCUAUUUUUUUGUUUGAAAUAUUUUGAUGUGAGA